GGGGUUGUGGCUCAGUGGUAGAGCGCUUGCCUAGCAUGUAUGAAGUAACUGGGUUCAAUCCUUCAGCACCG
rnacentral:tRNA from 1 species